GACGAACGCUGGCGGCGUUCCUAAUACAUGCAAGUCGAACGCAGUGGGGACGGGUGAGUAACACGUGGGUAACCUCCCAUCAGAGGGGAUAAAACUUGGAAACCGGUGCUACACCGCUAAUGAUGGAUGGACCCGCGGGGCAUUAGCUAGUUGGUGCGGUAAAGGCUCACCAAGGCCUCGAGGCAUAGCCGACCUGAGAGGGGGAUGUGCCACACUUGGACGUAGACACGGCCCAGACUCCUACGGGAGGAAGCAGUAGGGAAGCUUCGGCAAUGGACGAAAGUCUGACCGAGCAACGCCGCGUGAGUGAAGAAGGUUUUCGGAUCGUAAAACUCUGUUGUUAGAGAAGCGGUAUCUAACCAGAAAGCCACGGCUAACUACGUGCCAGCAGCCGCGGUAAUAC
rnacentral:rRNA from 1 species